CUGCCCCAUCCUACGGGAGGCAGCAGUGGGGAAUAUUGCACAAUGGGCGCAAGCCUGAUGCAGCCAUGCCGCGUGUAUGAAGAAGGCCUUCGGGUUGUAAAGUACUUUCAGCAGUGAGGAAGGUGGGUAUGUUAAUAGCAUAUUCAUUUGACGUUAGCUGCAGAAGAAGCACCGGCUAACUCCGUGCCAGCAGCCGCGGUAAUACGGAGGGUGCGAGCGUUAAUCGGAAUUACUGGGCGUAAAGCGCAUGCAGGUGGUUUGUUAAGUCAGAUGUGAAAGCCCGGGGCUCAACCUCGGAAUUGCAUUUGAAACUGGCAAACUAGAGUACUGUAGAGGGGGUAGAAUUUCAGGUGUAGCGGUGAAAUGCGUAGAGAUCUGAAGGAAUACCGGUGGCGAAGGCGGCCCCCUGGACAGAUACUGACACUCAGAUGCGAAAGCGUGGGGAGCAAACAGGAUUAGAUACCCUGGUAG
rnacentral:rRNA from 1 species